AUUCAAAAAAGUCCAAAAAAAUUAAUUCCAAAAACCCCUCCGUACAGUAUCCAAAAACUGCUACAUACCAAAUUUGAAUUUUUUUAACUCAAUGUCAAAAAGCAUUCCAAGAAUAACAUGGUCAAAAAUACAGGAAGAAUGUUAAAAACACGCUGCACAGUUUUUGAUCCAAACGAAAUUACCAAUGUUAAGUGUUGGGCUACUUCGUUAAAUCGAACAUAUUCAGUGUCAAAUGUUAAAUUUACUGUAAUGAAAUCUUUUAAUAAUGUUUUUAUAAACUUUAAUUUAUUUAAAAAAACUGACGUCAAAUUCCGACCAUUUCUUAUCAACAUCAGAGAAGAUUAUUGUGCGUUUUUUACACAAAACAAAGGCAGUUUAUACAUGAGAAUUAUUUAUAAAAUGUUCGAACAUAAUUCAAAUUUAAAUCA